CGAGUAGGGAGGGGCAUCGCCGGUCUCCGAGAUCGGAGGAAGGUCCGGACACCAUGGGGCACCGUAGCGGGUAACGCCCGUCCACUGCGAAGUGAGGACUAGUGGAACAGAGACGAGCCGGUUGAGUCCGGUUGAAACGGCCAAACUCUACGGGGUGCAAGCUCAAAUAGGCAUACGUUUGACCCUCGCCUUGGGGAGUAUGCGGGUAGAGUGCUGGAGGAUUUGGGUAACGAAAUCCCUAGAUGAAUGAUGCCAUCCUUUUCCCUUGGGGAAGAGGGAACAGAAUCCGGCCUACUCCCCUGCUCGGUUU
rnacentral:RNase_P_RNA from 1 species